UACGUAGGGCGCGAGCGUUGUCCGGAUUUAUUGGGCGUAAAGAGCUCGUAGGCGGCUUGUCGCGUCGACUGUGAAAUCCCGCGGCUCAACUGCGGGUCUGCAGUCGAUACGGGCAGGCUAGAGUUCGGUAGGGGAGACUGGAAUUCCUGGUGUAGCGGUGAAAUGCGCAGAUAUCAGGAGGAACACCGGUGGCGAAGGCGGGUCUCUGGGCCGAUACUGACGCUGAGGAGCGGAAAGCGUGGGGGAGCGAACAGG
rnacentral:rRNA from 1 species